CCGGACCUGACUGCUAUCGGAUUGGUACUAAGCCAUGCGAGUCAUUGUAGCAAUACAAGGCGGACGGCUCAGUAACACGUAGUCAACCCAACCUAUGGACGUGGAUAACCUCGGGAAACUGAGAAUAAACCGCGAUAGAUCAUUAUGCCUGGAAUGGCUUAUGGUUCAAACAAUUUAUUGCCGUAGGAUGGGACUGCGGCCUAUCAGCUUGUUGGUGAGGUAAUGGCCCACCAAGGCUAUAACAGGUACGGGCUCUGAGAGGAGAAGCCCGGAGAUGGGUACUGAGACACGGACCCAGGCCCUAUGGGGCGCAGCAGGCGAGAAACCUUAGCAAUGUGCGAAAGCACGACUAGGUUAAUCCGAGUGAUUCCUGUUGAAGGAAUCUUUUGUCAGUCGUAAAACCACAGACGAAUAAGGGGUGGGCAAGUCUGGUGUCAGCCGCCGCGGUAAUACCAGCACCUCGAGUGGUCAGGAGGUUUAUUGGGCCUAAAGCAUCCGUAGCCGGCUUUGCAAGUCUCCGGUUAAAUCCAGCUGCUCAACAGAUGGGCUGCCGGAGAUACUACACAGCUAGGGAGCGGGAGAGGCAGACGGUAUUCUGUGGGUAGGGGUAAAAUCCAUUGAUCCAUAGAGGACCACCAGUGGCGAAAGCGGUCUGCCAGAACGCGUUCGACGGUGAGGGAUGAAAGCUGGGGGAGCAAACCGGAUUAGAUACCCGGGUAGUCCCAGCUGUAAACGACGCAACUCGGUGAUGCAUUGGCUUAUGGGCCAAUGCAGUGCCGCAGGAAGCCGUUAAGUUUGCCGCCUGGGAAGUACGGACGCA
rnacentral:rRNA from 1 species